GAUGCACCUGUUUCAGGGGGGAGUCCGCAUAUGACAGAUUUCGAAAUCACUUCCCAGGUGCUUAGGCAACGAGCGGGGGGCUGGGUGAAAGGUCUCUGAAGUGGAUACUACGCCCCAACAGCAUCAUCAUCCAUGGGUACGGCGACUCGUGCAGAUAUGGAACGACAGCGUCGACAGGCCGAGUGUGAUAAACAGGAGAUGGCUCGACAGAUGCAGAAGAUCGCUAUGGAGAACGCAGAACUAAGAUCAGACCUCUCCAUCAUUUGAGCCCAGAUGCAAGCUUUGAUAGAUAGGACCGCACGGUUAGAGGAAAGGAUGUGCCAAUCUGGACAAGAUGAUGUGGGAGGCUCCUCUAAUUGAUUAUAAGCUGCUCAGGUGGAACAAUUCAUGAAGUUUGAAGAUGCUUAAGUUUCCAUUUGUUAGACGAGGAGAAGAUAAGGCAGUGUAAUCAAUGGGGAAGGAGAGAAUGAAGUGGAAUUGGACUUGUGGGUUAAUGGCCACGCAGGUGGGACAAUUCAUAAAGUUUGAAGAGGCAUCCGAAACAUUUUCAAGACAUGGUGGGAUGACAACUGCAGGGGCAGUUCCUGUCCCUCAGUUGCCAAAAUUACAAGAAAAUGUGUG